rnacentral:tRNA from 1 species
GGGGCGUCGCCAAGCGGCCCAAGGCACCGGGCUUUGAUCCCGGCACCCGCAGGUUCGAAUCCUGCCGCCCCCACCA